rnacentral:rRNA from 1 species
GUACCAUAACCGACACAGGUGGGUAGGUAGAGUAUACUAAGGGGCGCGAGAUAACUCUCUCUAAGGAACUCGGCAAAAUGACUCCGUAACUUCGGGAGAAGGAGUGCCUUAUUUAUAAGGUUGCAAUAACAAGAUCCAAGCAACUGUUUAUCAAAAACACAGGUCUCCGCUAAGUCGUAAGACGAUGUAUGGGGGCUGACGCCUGCCCAGUGCCAGAAGGUUAAAGAAGUUGGUUAGUGUAUGCGAAGCUGAUGACUGAAGCCCUGGUGAACGGCGGCCGUAACAAUAACGGUCCUAAGGUAGCGAAAUUCCUUGUCGGGUAAGUUCCGACCCGCACGAAAGGCGUAAUGAUUUGGAUACUGUCUCGGAGAGAGGCUCGGUGAAAUAGACUUGUCUGUGAAGAUGCAGACUACCUGCACCAGGACAGAAAGACCCUAUGAAGCUUUACUGUAACUUGAAAUUGGAAUUGGACUUUGCUUGCGCAGUAUAGGUGGGAAGCGUUGAAGAUAUUCUUGCGGGAGUAUUGGAGCUAUCAGUGAGAUACCACUCUUGUAAUGUUAGAUUUCUAACUUUGAACCAUAAUCUGGUCAAAGAACAGUUUCAGGUGGGCAGUUUGACUGGGGCGGUCGCCUCCCAAAUGGUAACGGAGGCGUACAAAGGUUUCCUCUGAACGGAUAGAAAUCGUAUCUAGAGUGUAAAGGCAUAAGGAAGCUUGACUGUGAGACCUACAAGUCGAGCAGGGACGAAAGUCGGUCUUAGUGAUCUGACGGUACUGAGUGGAAAGGCCGUCACUCAACGGAUAGAAGUUACUCUAGGAUAACAGGCUGAUCUCCCCCAAGAGUUCACAUCGACGGGGAGGUUUGGCACCUCGAUGUCGGCUCAUCGCAUCCUGGGGCGGUAGUACGUCCCAAGGGUUGGGCUGUUCGCCCAUGAAAGCGGUACGCGAGCUGGGUUCAGAACGUCGUGAGACAGUUCGGUCCAUAUCCGGUGUAGGCGUUAGAAUAUUGAGAGGAGCCUUCUUUAGUACGAGAGGACCGAGAAGGACACACCGCUGGUGUACCAGUUAUCGUGCCAACGGUAAACGCUGGGUAGCUAUGUGGAGUGGAUAACCGCUGAAAGCAUCUAAGUGGGAAGCCCACCUCAAGAUGAGUAUUCUCACAGGGUUAACCUGGUAAGGUCACGGGAAGACCACCCGUUAAUAGGCACUAGGUGGAAGUCCAGUAAUGGAUGGAGCCAAGGUGUACU